UAUUAUAUUAUUAUUUCUCUUAUAUUAUUUACUCUUGAAUUACUUUUGACUGACUACGAGCUCAACUGAGAGUAUAAGUGUAUUUUAUUUUGUCUUAUAAAAACAGUUAAUUGUAAAAUCAGUGAUCAGUGUUUUCUGCACCAGUCACGAGGGGUAUUUUACGGUGCGAAGGUCUGACAAAGCUUGGUGCGGUGUGUGGACAAACAUGACGAUUGAACAAACUUUAAACAGGUUCUUCGGUACAGAUCUGAAACAUGGGAGAGAUGUUACACCAAGUGUUAUCGCGCGAUUCUUAUCUGUGAUGCUAUCAUCGUUCUCAAUUAUUGAGUGCUUGGAGGAUUAUUGUAGAGUCGCAUCAUCUACAAGCGAAGAACACGUCGAUCUCGCCAACCAUCGAAUGAAACGAGAUGAUGAUGACAUUAAAAAAUUCAUAUUUUGGUUUGAGGAACACCGUCCUUUUAAACUUCGAGCUGUCUACGGGGAUUGUCGGUAUGGUUACUGCAGAUUGUUAUCUAGUAUUCAAGAAAGGAAACGAAAGUAUCCAUGGUGGUAAAGAGUGUUGCUAAAGUUUCAUUGUCUGUAGUAACGUAAAAAGUAAAGUGAGAAAUCUGACGGCGGCCCAAGUGCAGACUCAAAACAAUGAUACAUAUUUGGUUGACUCUGCUGUACUCUUUCAGUGUAUUUCAAUUAUUUUCCAUGGUGACGAGGUACAAACACGAGAAGCAUUCGAGUUCGAACUUUCACUAUAUCCCUUAUCUCUAUUCGACGAGUUUGUCAUUGAUGGUAAAGGUCUCCUGUCCUCCUGCACAACUCCUGCUAGCCGCAUGGAGCAUCGUUAAAAAUAAUAAAUACGGAGAAAAUCCUUCGGUCGUCUUUGAUACACCGUCUUUGAUACUUGAUGGAUACACCGAUAAGUAUAUAAGAAUAGUAUCGUACGAGAGAUCCCGCCGACGUCAACGAAAUAUUGCAUCGAAUAUCGAGUUCAACAAGAGCACACUCAUUACUUUUAGCCAAAGAAGAUUUCUGUUUCAUGUGAAAAACAAAAUGAGACUGGUGCAGGUGCUGUCGGAAUAUUUACGUAUCAAUGUGAAACUUGUACAAGAAGAUGCGGACGCGCUUAUAACGAGGACAGUGAUAGAGCUGAAAAAACUUACGGGAUGCGAGGUGGAAGUUGUCGAUAAUGACACCGAUCUGCUGAUUUUAUUGAUCGGUUUAUCAAAUUCGAGUCCUCUGUAUUUUACAAUAUCACGCCAGAUGGUAAAAAAAAUACUUUGUAUUAUACAGAAGACCACGCACAUCUGAAGUAUAUUUUAUUUGCCCACGCAUUCGCUAGAUGUGACACGACGAGUGCCAUCUACGGCAAAGGAAAAAAGAGCAUCAUCUCCAUUCUGCAAAAAAAUAACCAUCUGCAGACUACUGUAAAAAUAUACUACAACGCUGCGAGUACAAUGGAGAAUCUAUGUGAAUAUGCAAAACAAAUAAUUGCAUAUUUAUACAGUUUCAAAAAUCCUAAUCAGUCGCUCAGUGAUGCUCGGUACAAAAAUUUGCAUCCCUGGCCGUGCACACCAACGAGGAAAUUCAAUUGGCGGCUUUACCUCCAAUGCAACCCGUCCUGCGAGAAAACACGUGAAACGCACAUUCUACCAGGUGCAAUCGUGGUUAGGAAACAACUAGGAUGCACAGGAUUGGGGCUGGAAGCGAACCACCAAAAUGAUGAUUCCUGUCAUGAAUACUACGGGUUCAGUACCCGGCAAUUUAUUGAAAAUGGUACAAUGUGCGUGCACGGGAGACUGUAAAACUUUACGGUGUAGCUGCAGAAAAACUGGGCUCAAUUGCACUAAACUGUGUAAAUACUAUGGAAGACAAUCGUGUUCCAACUUGUUAAUCAGCACAGUACAGGAUUCAGCAGAGAUUCCUGCAAAAGAUGACGAGGAUAUCCAUAGAAAUGGAUUCCUCAACGGCACACGGUAUUCCCAAGCGGUUCACCCAUCCAAGUAGUAACCGUGCCCAACGCUGCUUAACUUUAGUGAUCGAACGGGAACUAGUGCUUUCAGCGCGAGUUUUUACGAGUUUAAACAUGUUUAUUUUAGCACACCACAGAAAUAACAAGAAAUUUGUACAAAAACUAUAAAAAAAUAAACAAGUUACAAUCA
rnacentral:lncRNA from 1 species